GAAUGAUGAUGCAAACCCAACCAUCAAUGCAUUUGUUGCUUUUCGCAUUUCGACCUUUCGAGGUAGCCAUUUCGUGACCCUCACGAAUUGCUUGCAUAAGUCAGCUUACAAUAACUAAUGCUUCAGUUUUGCCUCCAUUUUCCUAGGUGGUGUUACAACCAAUAGUUGCUCAGCAAGCAGAAUAUGCCUCCAUCCAUCAGAUUCUCGAUCAGACCAACUUCAUGGAUUGUAUGGUUCCUUUUUCCUCUACCUUUUCCCCCACAACUUCAUGUGCUAACUACCCCAAAUCCUUGCAGUUUCACGGCUGCGCAUCGCACUGUGACCUACGUUCCUCCCAAGUUUGCCACCCCAUAAAAAUUAUAGUCCAAUGUGCGUGACUAAUAUCAUACUGUACACGAACUUCUAGCUCUUUUCACUUCUGGAGCGGAUUCAGUGAGUGUUCCUCUUUAAUCUACACACGUUUUACUGUUACAGGUCGCAGUCUCUCUUUCUCAUCGUCCUUUCCCUAUCAGGAAUCCCACUACCGAUGUACUGCAGUUAUCAAGGGUUUUGAAGGU
rnacentral:lncRNA from 1 species